rnacentral:lncRNA from 1 species
UUUUUUUUGUUAUAAAUUGAAAAGUGAUGUUAUAUUUUUAUUGCAAUUGUCGAAAAUUGAAAACAAAUAAGAUUUGAAUUUUUAUUUAUUUUUGGGCAAUUUAACGACUCUAAUGAGAAAUGAUUUUUUUUUUAACCAAGAAAAGGAUUUGUUGAUAUGAUAAAUAAGGACAUACAGUGUUCAUGAAAUUUAACUUGUGUACUAUAU